GGACCCGCACAAGUAGUGGAGCAUGUGGUUUAAUUCGAAGAUACGCGCAGAACCUUACCAACACUUGACAUGUUCGUCGCGACUUUAAGAGAUUAAAGUUUUCGGUUCGGCCGGACGAAACACAGGUGCUGCAUGGCUGUCGUCAGCUCGUGUCGUGAGAUGUUGGGUUAAGUCCCGCAACGAGCGCAACCCUCACUUUUAGUUGCCAUCAUUAAGUUGGGCACUCUGAAAGAACUGCCAGUGAUAAGCUGGAGGAAGGUGGGGAUGACGUCAAGUCCUCAUGGCCCUUACGUGUUGGGCUACACACGUGCUACAAUGGUAUCUACAACAGGAAGCAAGACUGCGAAGUUAAGCAAAUCCCUAAAAGAUACCUCAGUUCGGAUCGGAGUCUGCAACUCGACUCCGUGAAGUUGGAAUCGCUAG
rnacentral:rRNA from 1 species